UUUUUUUUUUUUUGUAUUCAUUUUUAAGAUAUACUUAAGAAAUCUCAUAUAAACUUGGUGAAGAUACAUUAGGCUUGACUUCAGCAACUGUUCUAAGAAGUGGCCUAGUCCAAGGUGACUCCACAAUAUUGAAAGGUAAUCUAUUGUGUAUCACGAAAUUGCCAAAAGCUUUAAGAAGCUUUUCCUUUUGUGUCUUCAACCAUUUUGUUUUUAAUUUUGACUGCUUCAAUUGCGCUCUACUCUUCUCCAACUCAAUUUCAACAGCGGCUAAUCAAGUAGCUAUUGUUGAUGCCUUUGCAUAUCUUGUGGCUUCUAUGCCUUUUUCACGAACAGUAGCCCAUUGGCCUAAUGCUUGGCCGGGGAGCAUCACGGCCACUAUUGCCACCUUCAUAAUGAGCACCAGCUCUCCUUCGAAAUGCAUCUUGAUCAAAUUGCCAUAGACUUUCUUGUCUCGCCAUUUCUAACUCUAUAUCCUCUUCAUCAUCAACAUCAGCAUCAUCUAACUCUACUUUGUUAAUAUUCAUGAUUUCUUCUCGUAAUUCUCUCUCUCUUCUCUUUGUCUUUUUUGGAAACUUGAAAUUCCUUUAACAUAGUUGUCAUGUCUUUCCUCACUUGUAAUGAAACUUUUUGACAAUCCACAACUUGACCUAGUAUAUUAGCCAAGUGUAACUUCAAUCUAGUUAUUCCUUCAGUUAUUUUUCUUCCACAAAAAUUGUAAGUCAUUUUUCCUCUUUUUUCCGUCAGGGUGGCGAACUUCCAUCCAAUGUCAUCACUUGGUUUACCAGUAGUAGAACCUCCUUGAGGCAUUUUCAAAUUCUAGGUGUCAAUCUCACUGUUCAGCAAAUUAGAUAUAGUCCGUUUUGAAUAAAUUUAGUUUCAUAAGUCACUUGUAUCAUAUUAAUAAUAUAAAGUACUAACUCACAUCAAAUUUGAACAUAUGAAAGAAAUUAACUAAUAAAGUAAAAAUUAUUUUUUAAAAAUUUUUUGUUAAUCAAGUUCUCAAUGUUUUUAAAUUGGGAAGUCCAUGGGCCCAAUACACACAAUUAAAGGAAUCGAUACACAAAUCUUGAAAAGUUCAAGGACUUGAAAUUUGAAGAUGUCUCUUAAAUUACAGUUACUUAAAGGAAGCACAUGCAUCUUAAAGAAACUUUGAUGGUCAAUGUGAUAGCAACACAUUUAGGCUAAAACAAAAAAAUGAAAACACUAGAGUACAAUGACAUAGUGCAAAACUUAAAUUUAGUUAAUGUCUAGCUAAUAGUUAAUUUUACAACAAACAGCUACAAAUUACUAAGGCAUGAACAGCACAUCUUCCAAAGAGAAUAAAACUAAGGACUUGUGAGUCAUCAUGGCAGUUCCAUACAACCAAAAAAUGGACACAAACUAUAAUCCUACAGAUAUGAUACAAGAAAUAACUAAGAAGACAUUAAUAAUUGAUAAAUAGGUAACCUCAUUCUUUCUACUCCAUCGAA
rnacentral:misc_RNA from 1 species